UACGUAGGGUGCAAGCGUUGUCCGGAAUUAUUGGGCGUAAAGGGCUCGUAGGCGGUUUGUCGCGUCGGCCGUGAAAACUUGGGGCUCAACCCCAAGCCUGCGGUCGAUACGGGCAGGCUAGAGUUCGGUAGGGGAGACUGGAAUUCCUGGUGUAGCGGUGAAAUGCGCAGAUAUCAGGAGGAACACCGGUGGCGAAGGCGGGUCUCUGGGCCGAUACUGACGCUGAGGAGCGAAAGCGUGGGGAGCGAACAGG
rnacentral:rRNA from 1 species